rnacentral:rRNA from 1 species
UUAAGUGACGAAGCGUAUACGGUGGAUGCCUUGGCAGUUAGAGGCGAUGAAGGACGUGUAAGUCUGCGAAAAGCUGUGGUGAGCCGACAAAAUGCAUUUGAGCCACAGAUGUCCGAAUGGGGAAACCCACCUAUUUAUAGGUAUCGUUAACUGAAUACAUAGGUUAACGAGGCAAACGAGGGGAACUGAAACAUCU